CACUUUUAAACCCACCCUCCAGUUUCCUAACUUGGAGGGUGGCUUCCCCUGUGUCCAGACUGGUGGCUGAUGCUGUUGGGAGUUGGGGUCUGGCUCUUCUGGCCCAGCCUCCCUCCUCUCUGCCUCCUCUGUCACUACCGUGCAGCUCCUCUCCUUGUGGAAGGAAGUGACUCGCGGGCUGCCAAAAAGCAAGAGGUCACGGUCGCGCUGUUAAAGUGCUGAUACACGCCCACUGGGUGGUCCUUACUCCAUUGGUCAAUCGGUAAGCUUCCCGAGCAGUACCGGAGGGCCCAUGGGGUGGUGUUUGCUAAAGAGUCAAUUAUUUUCUCUUCUUUUGUGUGUGAAUCUCAUGACCUAUAAAAUAGAGUAUGGGGCGGUGUUUGCUAAAGUAUUUUCUCUUCUUUUGUGUGUGCAUCUCACGACCUAGAAAAUAGAGCUGCAGGGUCCAAGGAGAAGAUAAAGACUUAGCUCACUCAAUAAAACCAGUAGCCAAGGGUUUUGUCCCAAACUUGUAUGGUAACCAGUGAACACAUAAUCAAUUUGUAUCCCAUAGUACAGAUAGAGAAUGAUCCUACAUUAAGACGUAAUGUCAAAGUCCUUGCAAAUGCGUAACUAAAAAGUCACCAUUAUGUUUUUGUUGCUUCUGUAGCCUUUUUUUGGUAUAGCUAUAAAGACUAUAACAAAUAUAAUUAUUAUGGUGUAAUCAGAUUGAUAUUCUCAGCUCCAACUGUACACCUAGCAGUUAGGAUAUAUUAUAUUAUAAAAUGAAGGCAGUCUAAGAAAUUUUGAACCCUGAUAAUUGAACUCUUAUAGUCAAAGCACCAGAAAAAGGUGUAAAAAUAUAACACCAUGCACUGUCUGUGCUACAAAUAUUUAGAUUUAUUUUUCCUUAUGUCCUCCUGUAUAUCAAUUAUUAUACUCUUUCCCUCUUGCCGUUUGCAUUCAUUUAUAUUUAUUUCUUUUUCUUCCUGGUGCCACAUCUCAGUAUCUGGGAGCAGCCAUUUUGUUCUCCUCUGUCCAUAAUGUCUGCUGUUUGCCCUUCUGUGAGAUUGAUUUUACUGUUGGAUUGUGGGUAAAUCUGAUUGGCAACUGAAACAGAACCUUGCUUAAACUCCGCCCAUUGUCAAGCUUUGUCAACUUGAUUGCUAUAUAUAAGGAAAAACAGUCACAACUUUUCUUUAGCUAUCAGAGGGCAAAAAAAAUAAAAAGAGACCCAGACAAAGGAUGCUAUAUAGAAGCAGAUUAGCUAUACAGUAGUUAAUUUUUCAUGAGAGAGUCAAUUUAACAGAACAUUUUUCUGUUUCUGUUCCAUAAAAUGUGUGUAGGUUAAUGUGUGUAUUAUUUUUCCACUUAUGUUUUACUCUGCCAAAUGCCAGCAUAUAUGCUGUAGAAAGUUUAUUGGCAUUCUAAUUCUGAAUCUGGUCGUUUGUCUAAAAGAAAGCAAACAAGCAAGACCAGAACAAAUCUAAAUUUGCAUUUAGGUUACCAGAUGGGUAAGUAACCUAGGUGGAUACCUCGUUUGUCCUGUUACAUUUUGUUAUUGCAUUUUGUGCAAUUAAUCAGCAGUAAGCAAUGUUUGUUGGGAGUGUUUGCACAUUUUUCAAUUAUCAGCAGCCUGUCUCAUUUAAUCCACAUCUUAUUAUGUCUACAUAAGAGCGGUAAUGCGGGACAGUGCAAAGUACAUCAUGAAAUGAAAAGGCGGUGGUUACAGAAACAAAAAAAAAACAUAAACUGUAAAUUGUUCACACCCAUUGUAAUAGAUAAAAAAAAAAAAACUCUGUCCACCAACAAUAAUCUUCACCAACAUGUCUUUCUUGACCUUAAAACCCAAAGCCAUUGUACCUACCUACACCAAUUGAUCAACUUAGCUUCCUGGAAUAUUAGUGGUAACACUUUUUCAUUGGAUGCCCUGGCCAUUCUAUCAAUUUCACAGUUUUCAUAUGUUGGACCUCAUAUCCACAUGUCUAGAUACUGGAACAAUCCUUCCCUGCUUUAUUCUUUGAUUCGCUGCCAGGAGGGAAUGAGCCAUUCUCAUAAAACAUCUUUCGGUCUCAUCUAAAGACUGCCUGAUGGAAUAUUUGAUUGUAGCAGCUUAUAAUAAAGUUAUAGAGUUUAGGAUAAAUAUAAAGAGGAAAUCGGCCCAUCCAAUAAUAGAAUGUGCACAAAAAAACAAACUUAUUGGUCCAUUGCAAGGGAUAGUCACGCCAUUAUAUUAUGAUCUCAGUUAUUCUACAAUCAAUCCCACCCAAAUAAUAAUAAUAUAUAUAUAUAAAUAUAUAUAUAUAUAUAUAUAUAUAUAUAUUUCGGUGUAAUAAUAUAUAAAUAGGAUAUGGGAAAAUGUGUGUUGGUAUACAGUAGCAGGCCACAUGACUUUGCCAUAAUACCAAGAAAAAUAUUUAUGCACAAAAUUUCCAAGCUUGUCUUUAACCCUGGAUAUUGGUGAAGUUCAUCUUGCCUUCACUUCUGUUUGGCUUUGAUGCCCAAAACCUGGUGCAACCAGACACGUUCUAUCAGUGCAUAUAUUUAAAAUAUUAGUAUUGGAGAAGCAUUCCAUACAAAGGUUGUGUAAAUUUCCAAUUUUUAUGGAGUGCUCUGCAAGACGUAAAGUGUGAUUUACUUUCAUCUUUUUUUUCUUGGGAGGGGACGGAUAUUGGGCCAGAGAGGUUUGUGAAAGGUUUACUGAGCCAUACCUUCAAGUAUUACAAAUCAGCUCACUACUGAUUAUAUAUCUGCCAUAUUAAUGAUUUUGGUAGUUAAUCCAUCAUUUUCAAUUUGUGUGACCUCAAUGACCUUCAAUAGUCACUGCUAGUUUGUGUUAUAUAAAUAGCAUGGCAGAAAUUCCCUAGUGAUAGUUAUUCUGUUUACCAGUCAUGUAUAAACUAGUCUGUGUUGUGCCUAACUGCAAUAUUAUACUGUUAAAUAAUGAUACAUUUUCUCCUGCACUCACUACCUUCCAGGUUGGUCUACAAAUCAAUUGAUAAUCCAUCAAUCAUGCAGGGGAAAAGCACUGUGUGCUUGGAAGAGUUCCAAAAUGUUUCUAAACACUUCAACAUUAAACCGGGGGACAGCGCCAAGACACUGUACACGAGGUGACCACUACAGUGAGAUGUAGAGAUUAUGUUGCUUAGGGUGUCCCGUCAAGAGGUAUGCUAACUUAUAAGAACAUGGGUAUUUAUCAAACACUCAAUUGUAUUGGUGUGCUAAUGUACAGCAUUAAACUGUGUUUUAAGAAUAAGAAUUAAUUCUGCGUGUAGUGACUUUGUGUUUAUAAAGUAAAACAUCCAGUUCAGAAUUGCAACAUACAGGAUGGUUUGAAGUUUACAUACAAGUUCUGCUGGUUUAGGAUAGGGUGGUACCCUCCUGGCAUACACACUAAGUGUGGGUUGCAACUAAUAUAUAUAAGGAGAGCUCACACCUAGGCUAUCACUGUACUCCGGUCUUUUGUUACAGCCAUUUCAAUUAGGUAAGUAAUUACAAAUAAAUUUACUAGACUAAACCAGAAUACAGGUAUACACCACAGCAGCGGUACUCUAGUUAUGGUCCAUCUAUGGAUGAUACACAAGGUUUAUAUGAAGAGAUAUGCGAGUAACAGUGAAAUGUGUUGGUAUUUUAGUUUUUUUUUAAAAUGUAAGCUUUGAUGUCAUUCUUUCUGGUCGCUCCAGAAGGGUUAAACAUGAUAUGUUUAGUAAACUCUCAACGCCGUCACAAAUGUGCAGGAUUAUUUUCCAAAUUGUGAAUUGAAUUUAUUUAUAGAUACUGCAUUUAUUGAUUUAUUUUUUUUUGCUUGUGAGGCAGUGACCUUUUAUGACUCAGAUAAAUAUACAUCUGAAUUAUAUAUAUUUGUGGAAAAUCCUAGAAUAUGAUCAGAAAUAACAAUUCAGGCACACAUUUGGAGUUUAACCCUAAAUGUGCUAUUUCAUUUCAAUGCAAUUCAAUGUCAAUCAAAUGUGUCUGAAUUUCAUACAAAGUCAUAGUAAUUCACGUGUUUUUCAAACUCAAUUAACAUAGUGAUUCACCAAUAUGAAUUACAUGUGAAUUACAUAUUCUAAGUGAAAAUAGUGAAAAAAAAAAUGACAAUCUUUUAAAUUGGAUUAUAUGUUGGGCUAAUGGGUGGGUUACUGUAAAAAUAGGGCUGGCAAGUGGGGCUAAUAAAAUAAUCGUAUCAGCUCUGUGAUACAAUUGUCCAGUGUCCCCUCUAUCCUCUUGCCUGAUGUUCCUUAGGUAAAGGAUUAAAUAAUAAUUUAAACAUGUUCCAAUGCACUCUACUAUCUAUUUAGUUUCUCACCCACGGUAUAUUAACUUAGAAAAUGGGAGACAUUUUAGCAGAUGCCCUUUAGUUGAUUGGAAGUUAACUGGAUCUAAGCAGUUAUUUAACCCCUUAACCCUUUAAGGACCAACCUUCUGGAAUAAAAGGGAAUCAUGACAUGUCACACAUGUCAUGUGUCCUUAAGGGGUUAAUUAGCCCCAAUUCUUAUUAUGUUUCAGGCACCUUAACUGGCACACUUUUAUCCUUUGAUUUGAGGAAAUGGUGGGGAAUUGAUAGGGAGUCUGGGGAAAUCUUUUAAAAUGUAUUUAUUUCAUUAUGUUGAAUGGGAAGCCAGCAUUUUUCAAUGUGUUCAUCAUUUAGGAAUUAUUCAAGAUUUACGUGAGCUUGUUGACCCCAUCUCGGGGUUAUUUUGGAUUUCAAAAAGGAACUCAUUUGUUCAGGUGUUGCAGUAUAAUAGAAAACAGGAAAAAUGCUUGAGAAAGACCUCUUAGCUGGUCGAAACGUUGCUGCAGCUUGAUAAAGACCUCUUAGCUGGUCGAAACGUUGUUGCAGCUUGAUAAAGACCUCUUAGCUGGUCGAAACGUUGCUGCAUCUUUUUUUUUUUAUCCAAUAAAUCUGCCUGUGGCUUUAAUUCCGUGAGUGCCUGAAGAUUAUACGUGUUUUGGAUUUGCUGGUCCUACUUCAGUGCACCUGGAGCUUAGCGGAUUUGAGUACGGUUCCUUAUUUCUAUUUUACAAGUGUUGCAGUAUCUGAAAUGAAGUUCAUUAGUGUCAAUUAGAAACCCAGCAUUAUUCAGAAUUUGUGACAAUUGCUUGGAGAUGGACUGUCUCUUUUGUGUUUUUUUUUUAGAGAGGCUGAUAACAUCUUUUUAACAUGUAUCUAGGCAUGAUUCCUCAGUGGCACAGAAAGUUCCACAGACCCUCGUUUUAUACUCCAUGUAGAUUCUGAGGUUCUGUAUAUAAAAAAAUGCAAAGAUCCCACAAGUAGCAGUGCUGCUUACAUUAUUGAGCAAAAAUCAUUGUGAAGAAAAAAAUAAAUUAUUGGUGUGUUUAAGACAUCUUAUAUAGGCCUUAGUUUAAUAUUAUUGAAUACACUUGUUAAAUGAUUUAAUACCUUAAUAUAAUACUUAAUAUUUUGAAGAAAAUUCAUUUUAAAAGGUUAUCCAGAAAUAUUAAAGGAUCACUAUAGUGUCAGGAAAACAAAGCAGUUUUCCUGACACUAUGGUGCCCUGAGAGUGCCCCCACCCUCAGGGUCCCCCUCCCGUGGCUUACCUCAAUCCAGCUCCCUCGGCGCUGGUGACCUCUCCUCCCCGUCCGAUGUCAGCUCCCCCGUCAGACGUCACUGGAGCCGAAUGCGCAUGCGCGGCAAGUGCCAUGCGCGCAUUCAAAGUGUCCAUAGGAAAGCAUUUCUCAAUGCUUUCCUAUGGACGCUCUGUGCAAUGGAGGCAUAAUAUGCCUCCAGCGUUGCAGAUGCGCCUCUAGUGGCUUAAAGCCCAAUGUAAACAUAGCAGUUUCUCUGAAACUGCUAUGUUUGCAUCUGAAGGGUUAAAACCUGAGGGACCUGGCACCCAGACCACUUCAUUGAGCUGAAGUUGUCUGGGUGACUAUAGUGUCCCUUUAACCCCUUAAGGACACAUGACAUGUGUGACAUGUCAUGAUUCCCUUUUAUUCCAGAAGUUUGGUCCUUAAGGGGUUAAAUCAUUUGAAAAUCUUAUAGAAACAGUAUAGAAAUAAACUUUUUUUUUUUUUUUUUUUUUUAUCCAAAAGGUGCUGGAUUUCAAACCUAUUAGUAACAAUGUGCAACAAUCUUCUGGAUGCUGCAGCAAUCAUUAAAAAAGAGUUCUAUGACAACUGCAAUAAAGAGGGGAUAUUAAUAGGUGAUGCAGUGGAAAGUUUGAUUAUGAAAAAUUUUGGAGCAGUGAUAAAGGUUAGUGAUAAACAGCUGGGGAUAAAAUGUCUUUAAGUUGUGCUAACAUGUUUCAGCAUUUCUAAUGAAGUACAGAGUUUUAAAAUAAUUGCAUUGUUCUCUACAAAGUUUGUUUCCUAUAUACCAUAUUUAGAUUACACAUACACACUGUUUAAAGUGGCACUGCCCCUCACCUCCUCUACUGAAAAACAAGUAUUUUAUAAAGAUAGAAUAAUACUCAUUUUGACUGUGUUGGAAUUUCACUGAAAUGCCAACACAGCCUUGAGAUAUACAGAAACUAAGUAGUUUGCCUUUGUACAUUUCUCAAUGUGGGUGGAGUGGCAUUUAGCUAUGUGUCUGGCCAGCCCCUUUACACACUGGAAUUACCUUACAUGGUUUAGGUGUUCCACACAGUUUAUAUCCCGAGCCAGCAUUUGACGACUUACUAGACUUGUGCAUUCUUUUCAUACGAAAACGAUUUUGUCCGAAUUUUCUGACUUUUUCGUAUUCGUUUACCAUAACAUAAAUGAAAGUCCUACAUACGAAUUAUAAACGAAACGAAAGGGCAAAUAUGGAAUGCAUUCGUUUUCGUUUCAGUUCUUUGGUUUAAUAGACUAACACUGUGCAUAAGCACAAAAAAAAAAAAAAAGAAACCAGGGAGCCGGCAGCGCUACCAGCUCCCUCCUUGCAAUAAAAAUUAACCAUCCCUACCUGCCCCCCCCCAGCAUUAAAACCUAUGGGGGCCACUAUGACCCCCAUAUUAAUAAAAGGGAGGUUAAAUCUUCCCGCAUGCCCAUACUCGCAUUAUUUAUUUAUUUAGGGUCCCCACCUGCCGCUCAUUAGUGGGGACCACAUGGGUGGGGACCAGGGGGGACAUUAGGUCCCUCGCUUUAAUUAAUUAGGGUCCCCACCCGCCGCUCAUGGGUGGAGACCAGGGGGACAUUAGUCCCCUCCCUUAUUUAAUUAAGGUCCCCACCAGCCACUCAUGGGUGGGGACCCGUUUAAUUAAUUUUGUCCCUACCCACGUCACGGGGGGGUCAAGGGUGAGACACAAGGUUCCCACGUUUAUUUUUAGUUAUUUAGCCUCCCCCAAAUAGCUGCCGAGUCACUAGUAGUUUUAAAUGACAGCGAGCAGCCACUGGCAUGCCGAGAGUAGGGGUAUGUGGGAGGAUUUAACCUCCCUUUUUUAAAUCUGGGGAUAAUAGUAACCCCCAUACUGAUUUAUAUCUAGUUUUAUGACAGCAGACAGCCACUGGCUGUUCGCUGUUUAGGCUACAUGACCCGAGUAGGGGCAUGCAGGAGAAUUUAACCUCCCUUUUAUUAAUAUGAGGACAAAGUGAUCCCCAUAGGUUUUAAUGCAGGGUGGUAGGAAUGAUUAAUAUUUAUUACAGUGAGGAAUCUGGUAGCACUGAUGGCUCCCUCCUGGCUUUUUAUUUAUUUUUUUGCGCAUGCGCGGUGCUAUUUUCAUCCUGAUGGAGGAAAAAUACAUUCUUACCGAAUUUCGUUCGAAAAAUUAAUGGUUUACGGACGAAAUUCAGAAUGGAAGAAUUACAUUUUUAUUUAGUACGAAAUCAUUUGUACGAAAUGAAAAUUUCACUGGUGCACAUGUCUUGGACUUACCACUGCCUCCUUUUGCUUGGACCGCUCCAUAAUUUUCACAUAAAUGCUAGAAAAUGUAUAGAUUUUUAGGGACACUCUGCAUGGGGACGCUGAAUUUUCCCCAUAGAGAUGCAUUGAUUCAAUGCAUCUCUAUGACGUGGUUCUGAUAGGCCAAAACUGCAUUUGGCACCGCCCCCUUGCAAUUUUAGCCAAUCCAAUGCUUUCCCAUAAUCGGAAGUUCUGAUGAUAUCACCAAGGGGGCGGGGAAAACUUGGGCAGACCUGCAUUGCGCAUUGGAAAUAAGGUGUGUUUUAUUCCUUUUAGGGGGGCUAAGGAGGGGACAAGCCACCUAAAUGGUGGGUCCAGCACCAUAGGGUCAGGAAUACAUAUUUGUGUUCCUGACCCUAUAGUGCUCCUCUAAAGCUCUUUAAAAUGUUAGCCCCUCCCCCACCUGUAAAUUAGCUCAAUAUAUAUAGGUAUAUACCCAUCUGGUGGCAUAGAGUUCUAGGGCAUGGACUAAAUGACAAGAGAGUCCAGGCUAAACCUGAUCCAGGUAAUUCUCCUGUUGAUACCUGUGACAAAUCUGUGAGAAAUGCUUGCUGGGAUGUAAAAUUCUAUGGGAAAGACUAAAUGAGAGAGGAAAGGUGAAGAACCCUCUUUUAAGUGGUUCUCCUGCUGUCCAUCACAGGUUUUCCUAUGGGAAAUCCACAAGGAACACUAGGGGAAUAUAAUAAUGGAGUGAGUGACUGAAGAGCCAUUAGCAUUUCAGUGCCAUCAUUAAGGAUUGUCCUGCUUUUAAAGUUAAAAACAUUUUUUUUUAAAUUUGUUCUAUCUAUAACACAUUUAUUAAAGGAUGCUGAAACCACACUGCUGUGUUCUUUUCAUAUACUCUUUUUUAAAAUUACAGUUAUAAGUAAAUUCAGUGAGAUAAGCUUGCAAUCUCUAAUUUACUAUUAAUAGGUGUGUUCCCUGAGAAGGUUAAAGUAAAUAUUUAUUUGAUGGAAAGGUAAACAGUGAAGAGAUUAUUCAAUUUGGCAGCCUUUUAGCAGAGCACUGGCAUACACAGAUCACCCAUGACUGCCCCAACCUUGGCUGAUCAUUUUAAGCCAUUAGUACUCUAUCACUUCUCUCCUUUUACUAAAUGACUAAUUUAUUUUCCCGGGUACUUGAAGUGUAUUAGUCAUGGUACACAUAAGUUUGCCAAGUUUAAAAGUAAAUUACAUUCCAUCUAUACAUUGUGUUAGUAGAAUUGCUAACACAUGUAUAGAUAAGGAGUACAACCUUUUUAAAAAUAGGGUUCUCCCACAGCUGUCAGUCAACUCUUCAGCAUAGCCAGCAUGGACCUCUAUGCUGUAGCAUCUGUAACCUAUAAAACACUCCCUUUUCAUCGGUAAUACCUGCAUUUAACCUGACACUACAAUACAGGCAAUUGUUAAAAGCAACUGAGAGGCAAAAAUGAAAAGAUUAGCACCAUAACAGCAAAGCUUUUCUCUAAACUGAUCGAUGGUAGAACGUGUAAACUAUGCAAAUUCAUACAUGUGAUCACAUGACCUAAAAGUGAACCUGAUAUUUUUAUUCAUUUUAUUUAUUUUUUAUGUAUUUGCAGGCUCCAAAGUACCCAGAGGUAAUUCAGGAAUUGUUGGCCAAGAUUGAACCCUACAAAAAAAAUGGAGGAAAUAAGGAUACAUAUAUAGAUCUUUUAUGUAUUACCUUUAAGUAUUACUGUGACGGAAAACUUGAGGUUGCAGAUAGCUGAACAAGGUUACUUUUCUCUUGUUUUGAUGCAAACAGUUGUCAUAAUGAGAUGUAAGAAGGAAUCAGGUAACCUACAUUAAGUGGUGAACUAAUCUUCCAUGAAAUAAUUCAU
rnacentral:lncRNA from 1 species